UAGGGAAUCUUCCACAAUGGACGCAAGUCUGAUGGAGCAACGCCGCGUGAGUGAAGAAGGUUUUCGGAUCGUAAAGCUCUGUUGUUGGUGAAGAAGGAUAGAGGCAGUAACUGGUCUUUAUUUGACGGUAAUCAACCAGAAAGUCACGGCUAACUACGUGCCAGCAGCCGCGGUAAUACGUAGGUGGCAAGCGUUGUCCGGAUUUAUUGGGCGUAAAGCGAGCGCAGGCGGAAUGAUAAGUCUGAUGUGAAAGCCCACGGCUCAACCGUGGAACUGCAUCGGAAACUGUCGUUCUUGAGUGCAGAAGAGGAGAGUGGAAUUCCAUGUGUAGCGGUGGAAUGCGUAGAUAUAUGGAAGAACACCAGUGGCGAAGGCGGCUCUCUGGUCUGCAACUGACGCUGAGGCUCGAAAGCAUGGGUAGCGAACAGG
rnacentral:rRNA from 1 species